rnacentral:rRNA from 1 species
AGAGUUUGAUUAUGGCUCAGGAUGAACGCUGGCGGCGUGCUUAACACAUGCAAGUCGAACGGAGACUGUGGAGAAGCGGAAGGCUUGCCCGGAAGUGGAUUAGCAGUCUUAGUGGCGGACGGGUGAGUAACGCGUGGGUAACCUACCUCAUACAGGGGGAUAGCAGUUGGAAACGACUGAUAAAACCGCAUAAAACGGCAGCAGGGCAUCCUGCAACCGUCAAAUAUUUAUAGGUAUGAGAUGGGCCCGCGUCUGAUUAGCCAGUUGGUGGGGUAACGGCCCACCAAAGCAUCGAUCAGUAGCCGGCCUGAGAGGGUGAACGGCCACAUUGGGACUGAGACACGGCCCAAACUCCUACGGGAGGCAGCAGUGGGGAAUAUUGGACAAUGGGGGGAACCCUGAUCCAGCCGACGCCGCGUGAGUGAAGAAGUAUUUCGGUAUGUAAAGCUCUAUCAGCAGGGAAGAUGAUGACGGUACCUGACUAAGAAGCCCCGGCUAACUACGUGCCAGCAGCCGC